AGACGCUGGCGGCGUGCCUAACACAUGCAAGUCGAGCGGGGUUGAAGCGAGAGGUAACUCGAACUUCUACCUAGCGGCGGACGGGUGAGUAACGCGUGGGCAACCUGCCUCAAGGUCUGGGAUAACAGCCCGAAAGGGCUGCUAAUACCGGGUAUGCUUGUGGCCUCGCAUGGGGCUAUGAGCAAAGGGGAAACCCGCCUUGAGAUGGGCCCGCGUCCCAUCAGCUAGUUGGUGAGGUAACAGCUCACCAAGGCGACGACGGGUAGCCGGCCUGAGAGGGUGACCGGCCACACUGGGACUGAGACACGGCCCAGACUCCUACGGGGGGCAGCAGUGGGGGAUCUUGCACAAUGGGCGAAAGCCUGAUGCAGCGACGCCGCGUGAGCGAAGAAGGCCUUCGGGUUGUAAAGCUCUGUCUGGAGGGACGAAGGAAGUGACGGUACCUCCGGAGGAAGCCACGGCUAACUACGUG
rnacentral:rRNA from 1 species